rnacentral:rRNA from 1 species
AUACGGAUGGUGCGAUCGUUGUUCGGAAUUACUGGGCGUAAAGGGCGCGUAGGCGGCGAUGUAAGUCAAAUGUGAAAGUCCUCGGCUUAACCGGGGAAGUGCAUCUGAAACUGCAUUGCUUGAGUAUGGGAGAGGAAAGUGGAAUUCCCGGUGUAGAGGUGAAAUUCGUAGAGAUCGGGAGGAAUACCGGUGGCGAAGACGACUUUCUGGACCAAUACUGACGCUGAGGCGCGAAAGCGUGGGGAGCAAACAGGAUUAGAAACCCUAGUAGUCC